UGGAGGAGAGUUGGAGCAAAUAAAGAAGCGGAUGCAACUGGAAGUUUUGGGGGAAUAAAAGAUCAGGAUGUCUCCCACAGAACUCUGCAGAAAUGGGAGAUGGCUCCGGAGGGUGCAAGACGCAAGUUCAGGGGCAAAUGGAAAUUAGGGAUGAAGAACACUUUCCCUUUGAGGUUUGGCUCAUUGCAGCAGAGACUGGAGAUGAGGGAAUUGGUGUCAUACUUUUCCCUUCUGCCCCACAGUGUUGAUCCCUGGCACUGUGAGGAUCAGCAAGUGGCCAAAAACAUCAGGAGGUGACCUUGCUCUGCCAUGAGAUCCCUCCUUGCAGGCCUGGACUGCC